GCGCGUAUAGCUCAGUUGGUAGAGCACACCACUGAUACUGGUGGGGUCCUAGGUUCGAAUCCUAGUACGCGCA
rnacentral:tRNA from 1 species